CCUACGGGAGGCAGCAGUGGGGAAUAUUGCACAAUGGGGGAAACCCUGAUGCAGCGACGCCGCGUGAGUGAAGAAGUAAUUCGUUACGUAAAGCUCUAUCAGCAGGGAAGAAAUACUGACCUUACGGUCAGCAGACGGUACCUGAGUAAGAAGCCCCGGCUAACUACGUGCCACCAGCCGCGGAAAUACGUAGGGGGCAAGCGUUAUCCGGAUUUACUGGGUGUAAAGGGAGCGUAGGCGGGGAGCCAAGUCUGGAGUGAAAUGCCGCAGCUUAACUGCGGUACUGCCUUGGAAACUGGCGAACUAGAGUGCGGGAGGGGUAAGCUGAAUGCGUAGUGUAGCGGUGAAAUGCGUAGAUAUUAGGAAGAACACCGAUGGCGAAGGCAGCUUACUGGACCGUAACUGACGUUGAGGCACGAAAGCGUGGGGAGCAAACAGGAUUAGAUACCCCUGUAGUC
rnacentral:rRNA from 1 species